UACCUGGCGCGUGCCCCACGUGUAAGCGAGCGAGAAAGCUCUCGGAAGUGAGUACAGCGGCGAACGGGUGAGUUACGCGUGAGAAUCUACCUUUUAGUGAAGGAUACCCUUGAGAAAUCGAGGUUAAUACUGCAUAAGUCCCUUCGGGGAGAAAGAUGGCCUCUUUGCUGUCGCUAAAAGAUGAGCUUGCGUGCUAUUAGCUAGUUGGUAGGGUAAAGGCCUACCAAGGCGAUGAUGGCUAGCCGGCCUGAGAGGGUGUACGGCCACACUGGAACUUAGACACGGUCCAGACUCCUACGGGAGGCAGCAGUGAGGAAUCUUGCGCAAUGGGCGAAAGCCUGACGCAGCGACGCCGCGUGGAGGAUGAAGGUCUUUGGAUUGUAAACUCCUGUUAAGUGGGAAGAA
rnacentral:rRNA from 1 species